rfam:Drosophila willistoni strain TSC#14030-0811.24 scf2_1100000005314 genomic scaffold, whole genome shotgun sequence.
AUGUACUAACCUCUAGUUUCUCUUAUACUUUUGCCUGCUACUUUGGCAUUCCAUCUAAAAAGGUACAAACAUCGCAUUGUCAAAAAAAGGUGGUUUUAGCACGUAGGCGCUGUGGGACUUCAUUGUCCCGAUGAUGCAGCGAAUCGUGCAUACGAGAUUGUCCAGAUGCCUCGUCAUCUAAUUAGUGACGCGCAUGAAUGGAUUAACGAGAUUCCUACUAUCCCUAUC